UAACAUUCCCUGUGCUGCUUCCUUGCUGGCCUCUUUGCUGCCUCCCUAACCUUUCAGGAUGCUCUUUGCAAUUCCGCUAAAGCUAUUGAAUUGAUAAACAUAUAAGAAAGGAAAAGCGACAACAAUUAAGAACCUUAAUAAUAACAGUAACCAUGUGGGCACUUACUCUGUAUCAUCCACUGUGGUAGCACUUUGUAAGCAUUUUCUCCUUAAAUUCUGACAAAGAACCGUGGUGAGGUAUUUCUGUAAUUAUCUCAAUUUUCAGAAAGGGUAGCUGAGGCUCAGAGUUCGCAUGACUUUCCCAUUGGUAAACCUCUGAAGUGACAGAGAUAUGACCUAAGCCUACAUGUCAUGCCCACUCGAUGCUUCUGCACACAAUGCUGGAAGGACUCGUUGCUUGAUGACACUAAGAAAAACACUUCUGAGAACCUCCACGUUGUUCAUUUUCAUAUUUGGUCUUUGGCAGCCGGAAGUCCCAGGGGUGAUUUUGUUUCCCCUUGUUUCGCUGUUACUGAAAUCCGGGACCCAACAUUCUCUCUGAACUGGGAAUCAUCUCCUAUCUCCUUUAGCAAGAGGUAAUUUUCUGCAAUAUGAAGACUAAAGCCAACAAACAGACAGAUAUGGUUCGUCAGUAUAUGAAGUAACUUCACCAAGAAUCCACACUGUUAUAGGUGGGUGCUUAGCAUUUCAAAUAUUAUCAAAAUCUUCACCAGAAGGGUUAUUAGUUUAACAGAUGUUAGAAACAAUUUCUUUCUUUCUUUUUAAGUUUAUUUAUUUUAAGAGAAAGCAAGAAGAGGGGAGGGGCAGAGAGAGGAAGAGAGAGGACCCAAGCAGGCUCCAGACCGUUAGCACUGAACCCACCAUGGGGUCCGAACCCAUGAACCUCGGGAUUGUGACCUGAGCCAAGGUCAAAAGUCAGACAGUCAACUGACUGAGAUGCCCAGGUGCCCCUAGAAACAAUUUUUUUUAAUUGGCAAAAUGAGUCAUGUUCAAGACAGACGUGUUUGGUUAGGAACAUCAUGCAGGUAUGAAGUAUAAAAAUCCAGAAAGCUUAGAUUUCUACAAUUAUAAUGCUUGAGGUCUGCAGCCCAUCAGUCCUAAGUACUUCCAGUUCAUGGGGAUUCAGUCAUCUCACCUGACUAUAAGUCUAGAUAGUUCUCCCAUGAAAGUAUUGUUUCUGUAUCGAAGUAAGCUUUUCACGCAAGGUACUGUAAGGUAAAGACCACAAGCAUGGAACUAUUUUUGUACUUGCUUACUAAUAAAUGUUUGCCUUCUUUUUGUGUGUGUGGG
rnacentral:lncRNA from 1 species